CGGGUGAGUAACACGUGGGCAAUCUGCCCUGCACUCUGGGACAAGCCCUGGAAACGGGGUCUAAUACCGGAUACUGACCCGCUUGGGCAUCCAAGCGGUUCGAAAGCUCCGGCGGUGCAGGAUGAGCCCGCGGCCUAUCAGCUUGUUGGUGAGGUAAUGGCUCACCAAGGCGACGACGGGUAGCCGGCCUGAGAGGGCGACCGGCCACACUGGGACUGAGACACGGCCCAGACUCCUACGGGAGGCAGCAGUGGGGAAUAUUGCACAAUGGGCGAAAGCCUGAUGCAGCGACGCCGCGUGAGGGAUGACGGCCUUCGGGUUGUAAACCUCUUUCAGCAGGGAAGAAGCGAAAGUGACGGUACCUGCAGAAGAAGCGCCGGCUAACUACGUGCCAGCAGCCGCGGUAAUACGUAGGGCGCGAGCGUUGUCCGGAAUUAUUGGGCGUAAAGAGCUCGUAGGCGGCUUGUCACGUCGGUUGUGAAAGCCCGGGGCUUAACCCCGGGUCUGCAGUCGAUACGGGCAGGCUAGAGUUCGGUAGGGGAGAUCGGAAUUCCUGGUGU
rnacentral:rRNA from 1 species